rnacentral:rRNA from 1 species
CUUUAAUAGGAUGUUACGAUUGUGUGAAUACAUAGCACAUUCGAGGUAGACGCAGAGAACUGAAACAUCUAAGUACCUGCAGGAAGAGAAAGAAAAUUCGAUUCCCUGAGUAGCGGCGAGCGAAACGGGAAAAGCCCAAACCAGCAAGCUUGCUUGUUGGGGUUGUAGGACUCCAAUAUGGUAGUUCUUUCAGAUAGUCGAAUGACUUGGAAAAGUCAGUCAAAGAGGGUAAAAACCCCGUAGACGAAAUGUGGAAGACACCUAGGAGGAUCCUGAGUACGGCGGAACACGAGAAAUUCCGUCGGAAUCCGGGAGGACCAUCUCCCAAGGCUAAAUACUCCCUAGUGACCGAUAGUGAACCAGUACCGUGAGGGAAAGGUGAAAAGCACCCCGGAAGGGGAGUGAAAUAGAACCUGAAACCGUGUGCCUACAACAAGUCAAAGCCCGUUAAUGGGUGAUGGCGUGCCUUUUGUAGAAUGAACCGGCGAGUUACGAUUGCAUGCGAGGUUAAGUUGAAGAGACGGAGCCGCAGCGAAAGCGAGUCUGAAUAGGGCGUUUGAGUAUGUAGUCGUAGACCCGAAACCAUGUGAUCUACCCAUGUCCAGGUUGAAGGUGCGGUAAAACGCACUGGAGGACCGAACCCACGUACGUUGAAAAGUGCGGGGAUGAGGUGUGGGUAGCGGAGAAAUUCCAAACGAACUUGGAGAUAGCUGGUUCUCUCCGAAAUAGCUUUAGGGCUAGCCUCGGAAUUGAGAAUGAUGGAGGUAGAGCACUGUUUGGACUAGGGGCCCAUCUCGGGUUACCGAAUUCAGAUAAACUCCGAAUGCCAUUCAUUCAUAUCCGGGAGUCAGACUGUGAGUGAUAAGAUCCAUAGUCGAAAGGGAAACAGCCCAGACCACCAGCUAAGGUCCCAAAAUAUAUGUUAAGUGGAAAAGGAUGUGGGGUUGCACAGACAACUAGGAUGUUGGCUUAGAAGCAGCCACCAUUUAAAGAGU